CUUGUCAAACGGCCGUCAAAAAUACAUUUUGACGCGCGGACGGCUCCGCGUCGUGUGUCUGGCGUGUCCUCUAAAACGAAACGCGUCCUCCAGCGGAGGUUUGUUUUCGAGCGUCGAAUUCUUCGGCCACCGGCUCGUUUCCAGUUGCCCAACCUCCUCUCCACAACGCACGAGGAUCCUCCCUCUACCUCCGACGUUUCUGCCUCUCGUUUUGUGAGAGUGCCAGUUCGAUGCACGAGAGUAUGAAAGACGAAAAGAUGGAACAACAGAGAGGGAAAUAACGUGGCGUUUCGUAAGAAUUUUAUCGUUCCGUAUUCGGAGCCUAAUGCCCUUGCAACUCCUCCUUCGCAACCUUCUACGGUUCCUUCGCCACUCCACCAUCUUCCAAGUGGUCCUCGCGGGCCUCCUCGGCCUGGCAUCCGCCGACCAAAAAGUCCACUUCCUCGGACCGGAUCUGGUCUCCUACGGAUUCGUCGGUUCGUGGCCAAACCAGCCGAGCAACGUAUAUACCCACUGACCUAUAUGCUGCCACGGGAAAACGAGUCAGGGAUACACGAGCCACUCAGAAGUCACGUCGAACAGCUUGAAAGAUCGAAAGAAACCAUUGUAUGGAUAUUUUAUACAUCUGUACGAUCGUUGUCUUCUGAUUUCCUAUAAACGCGUAAAAACUUUGAAUUAGCUGCGAUCUAUCUCGUCUCCUUGCUACGGACGAACUGACGAACGAAGGUGAGCGAUUUCAUUUUUAAGAAUCCAACUAUUCGCCGUGUUUCUUUUAACGAGAAGAUAAAAGCCAGAAAUGGAGGAAACAAAGGACGACGAUUUCAAACGAACGACAAACGAGUGUGUGGGUCUAAUUUCCUCUUGUCAUUUUCCCUCGCGUAUUUAUUCACACCGAUUAAACGGGAAGAUGAUAGAGAGGAUGUGGAGGAAUCCAGCGAAUCGAGGCCACGAAGCGGAAGGAGGAAGAACGCUUAGAUUUUGAAAUUGAGCUCUAC